CUUCUUUUGGCCUUUUGUGUUGUAGUGUUAGUAGAGUCGAGCCCAGUUCUGCAUCAUCAAUUAUACACAAAUGACGUAAACCAACUUGCCGAGAAACAUGAACCAUUUUUAGAAACAGCCAUUAAAAAUACUGGAGAAGUGGC